UGAACUCCAGCAAAGUCAAGCUA
rnacentral:misc_RNA from 1 species